rnacentral:rRNA from 1 species
AGUGAACGCUGGCGGUAGGCCUAACACAUGCAAUUCGAACGGCAGCACAGUAAGAGCUUGCUCUUACGGGUGGCGAGUUGCUGACGGUUGUGGAAUACAUCGGAAUCUACUUUUUCGUGGGGGAUAACGUAGGUAAACUUACGCUAAUACCGCAUACGACCUACGGGUGAAAGCAGGGGAUCUUCGGACCUUGCGCGAUUGAAUGAGCCGAUGUCGGAUUAGCUAGUUGGCGGGUUAAAGGCCCACCAAGGCGACGAUCCGUAGCUGGUCUGAGAGGAUGAUCAGACAAACUGGAACUGAGACACGGUCCAGAAUCCUAAGGGAGGCAGCAGUGGGGAAUAUUGGACAAUGGGCGCAAGCCUGAUCCAGCAAUACAGCGUGGGUGAAGAAGGCCUUAGGGUUGUAAAGCAAUUUUGUAGGGAAAGAAAAGCAGCAGGUUAAUACCCCGUUGGUCUGACGGUACCCAAAGAAUAAGCACCGGCUAAAUUAGUG